AGAGUUUGAUCCUGGCUCAGAACGAACGCUGGCGGCGUGGAUAAGACAUGCAAGUCGAACGAGAGAAUUGCUAGCUUGCUAAUAAUUCUCUAGUGGCGCACGGGUGAGUAACACGUGAGUAACCUGCCCCCGAGAGCGGGAUAGCCCUGGGAAACUGGGAUUAAUACCGCAUAGUAUCGAAAGAUUAAAGCAGCAAUGCGCUUGGGGAUGGGCUCGCGGCCUAUUAGUUAGUUGGUGAGGUAACGGCUCACCAAGGCGAUGACGGGUAGCCGGUCUGAGAGGAUGUCCGGCCACACUGGAACUGAGACACGGUCCAGACACCUACGGGUGGCAGCAGUCGAGAAUCAUUCACAAUGGGGGAAACCCUGAUGGUGCGACGCCGCGUGGGGGAAUGAAGGUCUUCGGAUUGUAAACCCCUGUCAUGUGGGAGCAAAUUAAAAAGAUAGUACCACAAGAGGAAGAGACGGCUAACUCUGUGCCAGCAGCCGCGGUAAUACAGAGGUCUCAAGCGUUGUUCGGAAUCACUGGGCGUAAAGCGUGCGUAGGCUGUUUCGUAAGUCGUGUGUGAAAGGCGCGGGCUCAACCCGUGGACGGCACAUGAUACUGCGAGACUAGAGUAAUGGAGGGGGAACCGGAAUUCUCGGUGUAGCAGUGAAAUGCGUAGAUAUCGAGAGGAACACUCGUGGCGAAGGCGGGUUCCUGGACAUUAACUGACGCUGAGGCACGAAGGCCAGGGGAGCGAAAGGGGAUUAGAUACCCCUGUAGUCCUGGCAGUAAACGGUGCACGCUUGGUGUGCGGGGAAUCGACCCCCUGCGUGCCGGAGCUAACGCGUUAAGCGUGCCGCCUGGGGAGUACGGUCGCAAGAUUAAAACUCAAAGAAAUUGACGGGGACCCGCACAAGCGGUGGAGUAUGUGGCUUAAUUCGAUGCAACGCGAAGAACCUUACCUGGGCUUGACAUGUAAUGAACAACAUGUGAAAGCAUGCGACUCUUCGGAGGCGUUACACAGGUGCUGCAUGGCCGUCGUCAGCUCGUGUCGUGAGAUGUUUGGUUAAGUCCAGCAACGAGCGCAACCCCUGUUACCAGUUACCAGCACGUGAAGGUGGGGACUCUGGCGAGACUGCCCAGAUCAACUGGGAGGAAGGUGGGGACGACGUCAGGUCAGUAUGGCCCUUAUGCCCAGGGCUGCACACGUACUACAAUGCCCAGUACAGAGGGGGCCGAAGCCGCGAGGCGGAGGAAAUCCUGAAAACUGGGCCCAGUUCGGACUGUAGGCUGCAACCCGCCUACACGAAGCCGGAAUCGCUAGUAAUGGCGCAUCAGCUACGGCGCCGUGAAUACGUUCCCGGGUCUUGCACACACCGCCCG
rnacentral:rRNA from 1 species